AAAAUAAAAAACAAUAUGAGUUAUUAAUUCUUUAUACUAUCAUACUGUCAUAGUGGUUGUUUGUUUUUCCCUUCCACUACCGCCUUUCGGGUUUGUGAUUGUCACUAGUUUUGUUAAGGGUUCAGUAGUACAGUAUCUAUGGCAGAUUCCACCAUUGUGUCCACUACUUCUCAGACACCUAGGAGUGAGAGUUCCCCUAUACCUACUACUAUGAAUGAUAACCCCAACCUUAGUUUUAAAAUCACCAUUUCUCUAUUUAAUGGUCAGAACUUUCUCGUGUUGUCGCAGAGCUUGACUAUGUUUUUGAAGAGCAGAAGGAAGAUAGUGUAUGUGGAUGGCAGGAUACAGACACCUAGCACAACUGACCUGGGUUAUGACCAAUGGGAGAUUACCAAUGCUUUGAUUAUGGGUUGGCUUAUUCAUUUGAUGGUACCAGACAUUGGCAAGGGCUACUUGUCUAUGGAGAUUGCCUAGGAUGUUUGGGAUGCUAUGGCUACCACCUAUUCCCGCAAAGGGAAUUUCUCAUAGGCAUUUAAGUUAUGCUGCUCUAUUAAAAGUUCUGUUCAGGGAGAGCAGACGGUUCUUCAAUACUUCACUUUCCUCACUAAUGGUUGGAAACGCCUUGAUCACCUACAGGACUAUAAGCCUGUUUGUACUGCUGAUUCAGUUGGGUACAGGAAGUUCAUUGCACAGGAAAGGUUCUUCAAGUUUCUAGCACGUCUCAAUGUGGAGUAUGAUCCGGUUCGGAGUCGGGUUCGGAGUACGGACAUUCGUCCUUCACUUCAGGAGGCAUUUGCCUAUGUACAAAAUGAGGAGAGUCGUCAGUCUGUUAUGAUGUCCCCUGUCUCUACUGAUCGCUUAGCAUUACUGUCUACCUCUAAAGAUGGGCUCAACCUGACUCUCAUCCCUCCGUCUGCUGCCAAGGAGUCUGUAUUCUGUGAUUACUAUAAAAGGUCACGGCAUACUCGUGAGACGUGUUAGAAGCUUCAUGGGACUCCAUCCAGGGGUUGCAAUGAUCAGUUUGGUUCUAGAGGAGGUCGGUCAGGCCAGUCUGGAAGACGUGACUCUCAUCCACAGGCUUACCAGUCUAGUGCCGUUGAUACACUUUAUUCUACUUCUGCUUCCGUUGGCCAGGUUUCUGAUGGUCUCUCUGGUAUGAUGACUACUUCUAAGCUUAAGGAUGUUUUGUAUCACUUGCUGGACCGCCGGUCUUCUACUGCUUUUAGUACAUUUUCCUUGUCGUUUGCCUGCCCAAGUAACUUAGCCUCUUCUCCUUGUGUUUUCUUGUCUCAUAAGUCUUUUUCCUGGAUUAUUGAUUUUGGUGCCUCAGAUCAUAUGUCUGGCUCAUCUGAUCUUUUCUCUGCCUAUAAGCCCUCUUUAGGUUAGGACAAAGUUAAGAUUGCAGAUGGUACUAUUUAUUCUAUUUUUGGGAAAGGUUUAGUCCAUGUCAUCCCUACUUUACCUCUCUCUCCUGGUCUCCAUGUUUCUAAUUUUUCUGUUAACCUGCUAUCCUUGAGUCAUAUUACAAAUGAUUUGAAUUGUAGUGUGACAUUUUUUCAUGAUCAUUGUUUUUUUUCAGAACUUUGUCACGAGGAGGAACGUUUGGCAGUGAUAGUGUAGAAAAUGGUUUUUACUUCCUGGAUCAACCGGACAAGCUUGCUCAUUCUUCCACCACGAGUCCUACCACCACCGAUGAUAUAUGGCUGUGGCAUCGGCGUCUUGGGCAUCCUUCUUUUAUUUACUUAAGCAUUUAUUUUCAUCUGUUUUUUUAAACAAUAAUGUGUCUAAAUUUCUUUGUGAGUCUUGUCAAUUUGGAAAACAACACAGAGCUUCUUUUGCUCCCAGUUUUAAUAAAAGGUUAGUUCCUUUCUUUUUAAUACAUUCUGAUAUCUGGGGUCCAUCUUGUGUCUGUGAAAGGUUAUCGCUGGUUUGUUAUAUUUAUUGAUGAUUUUUCUCGUACUGCAUGGGUAUAUCUCAUGAAAGACAAGAGUGAAGUUUUUUCCGUGUUCCGCAAUUUUCAUAAGAUGAUUUGUACUCAGUUUGGAGCCACUGUCAAAAUAUUCCGUUCUGAUAAUGGUGGUGAAUGCAUAGAUUUUGUGUUAGGGUAAUAUUUUUCUAUUCAUAGCAUUAUCUAUUAGACCUCUUGCACCAAUACCGCUCAACAAAAUGGGGUGGUGGAACGCAAGAAUCGCCAUCUUCUUGACAUGGCUCGGUGCAUGUGUUUUUCUAUGAGUGUGCCUCAGUCCUACUGGGGCGACGCUGUUCUCACUGCUGCCCAUCUUAUUAAUCAUCUUCUUACCCAGGUCUUGCCAAAAUAAGCUCCUCUUCAAGUCCUCCAAGGUUCCCAGUCCUUGUUUUUUAUUCCUCCCAAAAUAUUUUGCUGUGUCUGUUUUGUCCAUAAUCACUCUCCUACUCGUGGUAAGUUGGACCCUUACUCCCUCAAAUGUGUUUUCCUUGGGUACUCUCCUUAAAAAGGGUAUAAGUGUUAUCACCCUCCUCCUCGUAAGUGGGCACCACUACCUCCUACUGGGACUACAGAGCCCAAUGUCACCAAGGAUAAGGAAGAGCAAGUUUAUGUCAGGGACAAAGACAGACAUAAAGUUAACUGGAUACAAGAGACCACUUCUGCUCCUCCACUGCCAUUUCUUGCUUCUAAUAAGAGUCCAGAUCAUGAUGAUGCUAAAAUUUCAAAACUUGUAGAUAAGUGUCCCUCUGCUAUAUUGGCAGUUUUAGACUCGUUGGUGGAUCCUCUCCAGAAAACCACUAUCUUUAGUUCAAAGCAUGAUGCUGUCAAGCAAGAAGUUGAUCGUAAUGAAGACAGGAUUCAGAGUGCUCUUCGAGCAAUUGUGUGUGGAGGAGAUAGCAGUCUCAAGUUCAAGAACCUCAUGACUGAAAUAUCAAAAUCUCCAACAUUGUGGGAAAAGUAUUGUUCCAUCCGGAAUGAGUGAUGAAUUUGUUGAAUCGUGGCAUGUGUCAAAUUCUUUCUGCAAAGAGUGAAAAAAAAAAAAACAGGUCCAUUCUUGAUUUCCUCAGGAUAAGUAUCUCAGAUAAAACAGUAUAAAUUAGUCACACAUUCACACACACAAAAAAAAGGAAGAAAGAAAAAAAAAAAAAAACAAAAAGAGAGAAAAAGAGAAAAAGAAGAAGGAAUUAUUGGCA